rnacentral:lncRNA from 1 species
GAGAAUCGAGAUUGUUCGGGGAUGGAGGUUGCUCAGGGGUGACUACAAAUGGCCUUAGAUGGGCUGAUGUACCAGAUCUGUGAUCCACCAAGCCCAGAGAAGCUCCACUUUUGACUCAGGCAUAUCUUGUAUUGCUAAAAAAAAAAAAAAAUAUGCAUUAAAGAACAAUAUAGCUUCUGGAAACAAACACAAAUCUCAAAACUCAUGGUCUACUCAUAUGCCCCCAAAUCUGGAGUCAGUGAUCUCCCACACAAACAGGGGGAAGGAUACUAAAAUGUACUGGACCCUCACUAUGGGCCAAACAUUAUAUAUCUCAUAUAUUAUAAGUUGUACAUAUUUUAUUUUCAUAACCCUCUUAGUUGAUUAUUAUGUCUCUUCUCCCUCUUUUCAUAGUUCAAUAAAGUAAGCCUCAGAAAAGUAACUGAAUAACUUGCUUAGGUCAUAGAUUUGAAUCAGGCUGGAUUUGAACAGGGUCUGUCUGAUUAUAAAGCUUAUGUACUUUUCACUGCACUGCUGUCUCCACAAACUAGCACGUCCCCCUUCUCUCAGUGCUGAGGGAAACAAAUGAUGCCAAGUGCUUUUAGAAAAUGCAAUUUGAAUUUUCUUUGGGAUGACUAAGGGUUUUGGAAACUGCGUUGAACCAAAUAUUACAGUUGGAAUUUUUUUCUAAGUGAGGAGUGGAAGAAGAAAAGGCAAGAAUGUGGAGAGAAUUAUAGACAGAUAAGGUCUCUGAUACUAGACACAUCCUUUUAGAACUUCACUCCAAAAAAACAAAGUUAAAAAAAAAAAGGAGGGGAGGAUGCUGAAUUCAGCUUUCACAGAGUAAUGAACAGCUGGCGUGUUUCUGCAUGAUUUACUCUAAUGUAACAAGUUUGGAAUUUUUAAGUUUUGGGGAGGAGAGAUGAAAUGAAGCUCAUGUUAGUUCUUGGUUAUAUAGUUACCCUUUGACACCUAGGAAUCUUUCACUUGAAAAUCUAGAUAAUGGAGAGUCAUCCCCAGAGCUUGGACCAAUAACAUUCCCACUUUAGGACUCAUUAUGCAUUGAAAGGGGCCUCUGCUGUAGAGGCGUGUCUUGGUUCUCUGCACAAAGACUACACCUCUUCACCAAGCACUGUGGUAGCAUUUCAGUGAGGACAAGUUCAUGGGAGACUUUCUUCAAACACUGAGCUUCUGGUUCAUUCAAAUUGCUGUUGGGGUUUCCUAGAAAGCACUGUGGAGAUGGGGCAGAUAUACCAGCAAACCACAAACAUCUGGAGCUGAUGCUCCAGAGGCAUGAUGACCUCUUCUCAUUUUUACUGACAGAAACUUCUAGUUCAGAACUGGCAGGGGCCCCACCAGUCUGCCUGGUCACAUUUCUAGGCAAGAGGUGAAUGCCACUAUUAACAGUCUUGCCAUAUUUUAAAGACUGGGGUUGGGCAGUAAAUUGGCUUGACUAGCACAUGAAGCUCCUGAUUCUAAUCCCAAAGCCCCCCAUGAGAUAGGUUUAAUGCCCAUGGUGGGGGGAGGGUAAAAGGGUGUGAUUCUCCCCAAUCAAGUAACUAAAUAGCAGCUGCUCCCAGAGGCAAGCAAUACAAAUGCCUCUGCUUCUGAGAUAGGCUUACAACAAAUCCAAACUAAUCUUUAUGAAACUGUGCUCAAAAUGAUUAUGUUAACAAGCUUUUCCUAAGACAGUUCACAUUAUUUCCUCUCCUCUGGAUUUCAGAGCCCAGCGAACCCCUCCCACCCUCCUCCUUAUUUUGUCAUUCCAUUUAUUUUUUUUUUUUUUUUUUUCACUUCUAUAAAGAAAAAAAAUGCCAAGAAUCUGCACAACUGUGUAACUGGUAGAAACAAAAAAACAACUGUUCAUUCCUAUUCUGGGCAUGGACUGUAGCUUCUACCUAAUUAUUUAGUGCAAAUGGGUAGGUGAUUUUGAUCCACAGGAGUUACAUAGGCAGAAUCUGUCAACUCUUAAUGUUCAGGAGGUGAGAGAAGGAGCUAGAAGUCCAACUCAAGGUCUCAGUCUGCCUGUAAGUAUUUCUCUUCUUUCUACCAGCAGCCUUUUAAUUCAAAUAGAGCCAGCUUUCCUAACGGGUUCUGCCAUCAUCUAAUUCAGUACUCAGGAUUGCCUUCCCCAGCUUCCAACUUCUACCUUAUUGCAAUCCUGCCCAACUUGGUCCUUUUGUAAACUGAUAAAGAAUUUGGGACAGAUCACAAAAAUGACUGACUAAAUAAUAAAGAUGUUCCAGUCGUCUGCCCAAAUAAUAUCAGAGAAAUAUUGAGACGUUGUGGCUAUUUACUUUUAUCUUGCUCUGCAACAUUUUAUGUAUAUAUUUUGGCAGCAACUGCAUACUUGGGAAAAAGGGAAAACAGGACUUGGAGAAGCAGAAAAUCAGCAGUAUGAAGUUUUGGCCAUCUAAAUGAGGGAGAAAGGGCGGUUAAGAGCCUAGAGCCUGGAUAGGUUGGACAAAUUAUUGUGUGGGAAAUAUACCAACUCUCUUUUCCUUCUGUAUUCCUUAGACAUCUGCUAAUACCCCUUAUGCUCAAUCUAUUGCUCUUAUGUUCUUUUCCUCUUCUCCCCCACAAGAAAACAAAUAAAUAAAAAAGACAACUCAAUUUCAGGGUCCCAACAAGAACUAUAUCAGAAAGCGUUACAAUAUCAAGAGCUGGAGGCUGAGGUUAGAUACUUGAGCCAGCACCCUGGCUGUGCUGUUGUAACAGAGCUGCUAGGUGAGCUCCCAACUAAUUAGAAUAACUUUGUUCAAUACGCCCUUUAUCCCAGUCAGUUGGGCACUAUACCUAUCUAUAUGGUUGCUUCUGUCCAGAGAAAUAAACGCAAUAAAGCUGUUUGAAGUGAUCAAACGACAAAAAUAUUAUGACUCUGAUCUCUCAGUUUCAAGGAAAGUUUAAGUACAAUGUAAACCUGGGCUGCUUCACUCAUUGAUUUCUCCUAUUGAAUGGAUCUCUUUCAUUCAUUCCUUGGGAUUUGCCUCAUCUUUUUUGACUUAAUUUUGUGCCUGUGCAGCGCUUCUCUGCUUUUCGCAAAUUCUUUAGGCAUGUCUCCCUAUCUUCAGUUUUUGAAUCAAGAGCAACCUGAUGGCUCUAUUCACAAACCUAUUUCUAAAAGGUUCAAGGACAAGGUUUCAGCCAAUUCCCUUUUACCUUGAAAUUGCUCCAGAGAUAUGCUUGUAGAAACUAAGACUCAGAGCAAGAGACAGACACAAGACUCUAUUCGUAUGAUGUAAAACCAGUCACCUUUUAAUUAAUUAAUUCUUCAUCAAGAAAAAUAUUGUGGCCAGUGAAGAUAUCAGAAAACUUGUUUGGCAAAUACACAAAAAGAAAAUCAUCAUGUAUGUGAAUUUUUCAUUUAUUAUUUGUCUUAGGAGAUGUAGACUUUAAAAUAUAUAAAUUAGUUAGAGAUAUGUAAAUGAAAUAAGGAAUAAAAGAACUUCAUUGAUUAUUUCUUUGGACCUGGGGGGGGAUGUGUUUUCAGAAAUGAAUAGGAAAUUAUGUAUUUGAGGUAGGUAUUUCUUAGAUUUCAGCAAAAGGAAUAUGACAUUAGAAAACUAAGACAAGUUUUUCUUUUAAAGUGAAAAUUAGGUUGUCAUUUAUUUUUGUUGUUUUGUCUAUGAUGUCUCCUCUAAAGGGCAAAGGAGCAGAAUUCCAGAGGCCAGCUGUACUCUUUAAAACUUAGUUUUCACUUAGCCCUUCCUGACAUAUACUCUUGAUGUAAAGGUAAACAUCAACUUUGUUUUUUCCUUAGUUCACCCUCAAUUAAAAUGUUCAGGGACUGAUUAUCUGAAUAGCAAAGUGUGUAGGAUUUGUCAAUUUCCUCUCCCUUCCUUUUAUUCCUAACUUUCACCCAUUUUUUUUUUUUUUUCUCAUUAGCACUGCACUCUGACCACAAAUGAAACAAGGCACAAUAAAAGCUGUUCAGUGUUUCGGUAGAAAGAUCAGCUAUGUUAGAAAUUAGAAGGAGUGUCUCAAGGAAGGUACAGGAUUAUCUGCGGUUGCUGCAUAUUGGUGAUUAAGAGUUAUUUCACCAUAACCACCGGCCAAAUAAAGACAUAAGAACUCACUCUCUGAGCUGCAACAUCUAAUUUAUUUCUGGGGAUACUCCCAAAAAAGACCACUGUGUAAAGAGAUAAACCAGGGUCUUCUGUUUUCCUCUCUCUCCCCACCCACCUCUAAUGAAGGGGUAGCUGCUCCAUGUAAAUUUUAAAAAGCAAAUGUGAAUGCUCUGCCCCUACUAAGACACACCCAGACGAUCAAAUACAGACAUUACUCAAAUAGUAUCAGCACUGCUGAAACUACCAACACAUCAUUUUCUGAUGCAAGCUGAGCAAAAAACAGCUCUUCGUAUGAAUCUGUAGAGUGGUUGGAUGGUACACAAAAAGGGAGGGUAGAAAUCACACCAGAGUGAAAAAUCAUAUUACACACACGUGAAAAAUGACUCAACAGUCUGUGCACACGUAUUAGUUAGAUAUGGAAUGAAGCUCCUUUGAGCCCUUGCCUGCGGCAGUAUGUUCUAGAACUUUUCAAUGGAAAUGUAUUGUUAAGGAGUAAAUGUUUUGUUGUUGAUGUCAUGAUGGUGAUCUUUUGCCUUGCCUUUCUGUAUUAUUUUAGAUCAAUUCUUAUUGGGGCUUUGUCAAGAAACAUUUAAUAACUAGUGACUGCUAUUCCAGGAGUGAUUUCCCUUUGAUAAAAGCAAAAGGAUUUUAUAUAUAACCAUUUCCUUGAUACGGCCCACCAUCAUUACGGUAUUUAAAAAGGUUAAAGAAACACACCAGGAGCUGUUUUCUUAGGAUUAGAUGAAAUAACAUAAAAAAUGAAUUAGAAAUGAUGAGCAUAUAUUAUAUAUUCUUAUAAAUGUUAGCUGUGAAAU